AUUGAACGCUGGCGGCAGGCCUAACACAUGCAAGUCGAGCGAGCGGCGGACGGGUGUGUUAUGUAUGGGGAUCUGCCCGAUAGAGGGGGAUAACCACUGGAAACGGUCGCAAAUACCGUAUAAUAUCGGAUGACCCUAUAUGGGAUUCGCUUGUAGGUGGGGGAAAGGCUCAUCUAGGCGACGAUCUCUAGCUGGUCGGAGAGGAUGAUCAGCCACACUGGGACUGAGACACGGCCCAGACUCCUACGGGAGGCAGCAGUGGGGAAUAUUGCACAAUGGGCGCAAGCCUGAUGCAGCCAUGCCGCGUGUAUGAAGAAGGCCUUAGGGUUGUAAAGUACUUUCAGCGGGGAGGCGUUACCCGCAGAAGAAGCACCGGCUAACUCCGUGCCAGCAGCCGCGGUAAUUC
rnacentral:rRNA from 1 species